GAGUUUGAUCCUGGCUCAGGAUGAACGCUGGCGGCGUGCUUAACACAUGCAAGUCGAACGGGAAACCUUUUAUUGAAGCUUCGGCAGAUUUAGCUGGUUUCUAGUGGCGGACGGGUGAGUAACGCGUGGGUAACCUGCCUUAUACAGGGGGAUAACAGUCAGAAAUGACUGCUAAUACCGCAUAAGCGCACAGAGCUGCAUGGCUCAGUGUGAAAAACUCCGGUGGUAUAAGAUGGACCCGCGUUGGAUUAGCUUGUUGAUGGGGUAACGGCCCACCAAGGCGACGAUCCAUAGCCGGCCUGAGAGGGUGAACGGCCACAUUGGGACUGAGACACGGCCCAGACUCCUACGGGAGGCAGCAGUGGGGAAUAUUGCACAAUGGGGGAAACCCUGAUGCAGCGACGCCGCGUGAAGGAAGAAGUAUCUCGGUAUGUAAACUUCUAUCAGCAGGGAAGAUAAUGACGGUACUUGAGGAGGAAGCCCCGGCUAACUACGUGCCAGCCGCCGCGGUAAUUC
rnacentral:rRNA from 1 species